ACUUGCUACUUCUAAGUUCCUCUUUCAGUCUUCCCAGUCAAAAUGCUCUACUUUUCUAACUGAAUCCGUAAAUUUUCGUUCCUCUGUGUUCCUCGUCCUAUGUUUCAUAGGAACUUACUACCAUUGUUGUCAAAACAAGUCACCCUUCACCUUAAACCUCGUCUCACCCGAGCAAUGAGCUCCCAGUUCCAGCUCCGAGUCAACCCACUCACCGGCAACUCGGAGUGGAUCGUCAUCGACGAAAACGAACCAGAAGGCCCAACUCCCAACACUUCCCAAAAUGCCCUCCUCGCCACAACCUCGUACCUCGACAUGCUCAACGACUCUCCGAGGAACAGAGCUUACCGCCAAGCCAUAGACAAGACCGUAACUAAACCCUGCCGUGUUCUUGAUAUUGGCGCCGGAACUGGGUUGCUGUCGAUGAUGGCUGCGCGGGCAAUGGGGUCGACGACAUGUCGUAUGGUGACUGCCUGUGAGUCUUACCUUCCAAUGGUGAAACUAAUGAAGAAGGUUCUGCGCUUGAACGACAUGGAAAAGCAGAUAAAACUGAUCAACAAGCGUUCUGAUGAGCUCGAGUUGGGUGUUGAUAUCAAUUCUCGCGCUCAAGUUGUUGUUAGUGAGAUAUUGGAUUCAGAGUUGUUGGGUGAAGGGUUGAUACCUUCUCUGCAACAUGCGCAUGACAUGUUGUUGGUGGAGAGUCCUGAAACGGUGCCGUAUAGAGCAACCACUUAUGGCCAGUUGGUUGAGAGCACAUUUUUGUGGAAGCUUCAUGAUUUACGCGGUAAUGAGGCAGAAGCGUGUGAUGGGAUUCGUCUUGUUCCAACCGGGUUUGAGGAUGUUUUGGGUGUUAAGCAGCAACAAUAUGCGUUUCAUUGCGAGGCUAUAGCAAAUGAAGUGAAACUGCUGUCGGAACCCUUCAGGAUCUUUGAAUUUGAUUUUUCGAAACGGCCAGAGAGUCGUGGAGAAACUGAGCUAUCUAUAAAGGCGACUAAUGAUGGUCGAGUUCAUGCUGUAAUUUCAUGGUGGAUACUUCAGCUUGAUCGAGAAGGGACAAUCUUUUAUUCCACUGCCCCUAGGUGGAUAAAUUUGCCAGUCAACAUUAGUCAUGGGGAUUGGUGUGACCAUUGGAAACAGUGUGUUUGGUUUAUCCCUGGUGAAGGUAUGUCCGUAAACAAGGAUGAAGAAGUUUGUUUGCAUGCUGUUCAUACAGAUAUUAGCAUCUCAUAUACUAUCAAGAGCCCCGUGUCAAGAAACAAGCGUGUGCAGUAUGACUUAACUGGCAGGGAUUUCAAGCUCAUACUACCACCAGAAAGAAUUGCAAUUUAUGGAGACAGUGUAUGGAGGCAUACCAUGUUUAAUGCAAUAAGUAAUGCGUUACAGGGAAGAGUUGAUCCAUUAUGCAUUGUUGCAGAUGACAGCGUCUUCUUAACUCUACUCAUUGCCCAUCUUUCUAAAACAUCACAUGUGAUAUCAUUUUUUCCGGGGUUGCAAGACAAGGGUUUGCAAUAUCUGCAAGCUGUCGCCAGUGCCAACAAUUUCUCAGUGGAUCGUGUAGAAUAUAUUAAAAAGAAGAAAACUAAGUUAACUGUGCACGAUACACAUCAGAGAAAGGUUGACCUGUUGAUUGCAGAACCUUUCUACUAUGGAACAGAUAGCAUGCUUCCAUGGCAGAAUCUCCGGUUCUGGAAUGAGCGGACAAUGCUGGAUUCUGUCCUAUCAGAAGAUGCAUUGAUAAUGCCUUGUAAGGCAAUAUUGAAGGCUUGUGCAUUGUCUAUCCCUGAUCUUUGGAAUAGUCGUCGUAGUUUGAGUAAGAUUGAAGGGUUUGACCAUUCUGUUGUAAAUUCUACCCUAGGGGCAUGUGGUGAACUACCUGGGGAGCAAGAGGGUCCUUGUCUGCCCUAUUUUAUUUGGCAGUGCGGAAAUGUUAAGAAACUCAGUGAAGCAUUUACGGUCAUGGAGUUUGAUUUCUCAAAACCUAUAAUGCCAUCUCAUGGAAAAACCCAGGUACUACAAUCACCCCUUAAAAUUUUAGUGAUAUUUGUGGUUAUCCUUAUUGAAAUCUGGUCACAGUUGGCACUUACUUCAAACUGCAGUACUGUGAGUAAUUUCUUACCCAGCCAUGAUGAAGCAUUUUAUCUCUGUUGUUUAGCACUCACCAUUGAACGAAUGAUUUAUGAUUGCUCUUUCUAAAGUUUGAUUGUAGGACCUUCGGGUUUCAGAACUAAUUGUCUUGUAAUCUAUUUGUAAAGAGUUGGCACGAUUGCCUUCUAAACUUGUAUUCCCCGUCCCUCUCAAGUAACAUCUGGAUUUCAUUAUAUGGUUGAAUUUACUGAGCCAGGGAUAUGCCACGGGUUUGCACUAUGGAUUGAUUGGGUGAUGGAUUCAGAGAACUCCAUUGUAUUGUCUACAGGGCCAGAUAAGAGGUAUUGGAAGCAAGGAGUAAAGCUUCUGGCCAAG